GCAGGCUGCUUUCUGAGAGGGUUCCUGGGUGCCCUGUGCUCCAGAGAAACCGGGACUUCAGCCAGCCCUGCACCAGCCUCUGGCGACCCGACCCGGUUGAGCUGAGUUGCAAAUCGACUGAGUUGAUUGAGCCGUUUGCCUCAAGAUCAAAUUCUGGCCAAAAUAUUAGCCCCUGUUCCUCCUCCAACUUCAGGAUGUAUCCUGAGAACCAGCUUCCCUCCCCUGCAGCAUCUCUGGCACCUGCUCUACUGUCCCUUCUUUAUUGAUUCAUCCAUUCAACACAAAUGUACUGAGCAGCCACCUGGGUCAGACACACCGCUAGGGACUCAGGAUGGGGGAGUGGACAAGGAGGACCCAUCCCUGGCUGCCGGGAGCCUACAGUCUAGUGGAGGAAACAGACACCAGAGAACUAACCAUACUGACUAAUGAAUGACGACUGUGGUAUUGCUGGUCUGAGUGCCCCUGCUAUAAAGCAAGGAGUGUCAGUGCGGACUCUGCAGCCAGAAAGCCAGAAAUGUGCUCCCCUGUUGGGGAGAUAAAAGAGCUCUCGGGAGCACCGGGGAUGAAGAAGCUUGUUAAGGAAUGAGAAUAAGGCGGAGAAGACCAGAAAGGAGGACUCAGGGAGAAGACGCCGUCUAUGAACCAGGAAGGGGACUCACCAGACACAGAAUCUGCCAGAAUCUGGGUAGUCAGCC